rnacentral:misc_RNA from 1 species
ACCAGAUCCUCCAAUUUUCCAAACACCAAAAUUAAAAGAAAAAUCAGAUUUUUAUAUAAAUUUCCAGUUUCCAUGUUUCAAAAUUUCACUGAACCCGUCGCAGUCGCAGGGAAAAAAUCAUUACAAUAGUGAACGAAAAUGGAUUCAUUUGCAUUUUCUCUCCAGCUGAACCAAACCCUCUCUCUCAAUUAAGUAAUCUAUUUUUCUUACCAUGAUGGCUCUGCUUCAGCUCAUUUCAACUCACAAACCCUCGUUAAAACCCAAUACUAACCUUCCUCCUUUAAACCCUUCCUCCAAUUCUUCUGCUCUCCAUUACCACAGUCGCUGCCGUAGGCGACAGACCAACUCUAUCAGAUGCUCCGCCUCCGAAAAGCAUGACACCAACCAUCCUAAACCAGACGAUGUCGUUGAAUUGCCGCUCUUUCCUCUCCCGCUCGUCCUAUUCCCUGGCGCUAUCUUGCCCCUCCAGAUCUUCGAGUUCCGUUACCGCAUUAUGAUGCACACUCUCCUCCACACUGACCUGCGAUUCGGUGUCAUCUACUCCGACGCUGCCUCCGGCACUGCUGAAGUCGGAUGUGUAGGCGAGG